rnacentral:misc_RNA from 1 species
UCAUUUUCCUUCUUUUCUCGCCAGCUCACCGCGUUUUGUUCUCGCACAAGAAGUCCGCUUCCGUGUUCCCCCGCCUCUGCCCCCUCUCCGUCUUUCCCUCAUUUCUGUAGCCCUCGCGUGUACCACGCGCCAUCACGCCCCCUUCUCGUUUUGCGUCCCGAAUCCCUCUUUCUCGUUGAUAGCAGAAAGAGCGACGAAGAAUUACGUGAGCGCACAUACACACACACAGUCUCUUCGCAUCUUCACUAAACCGCAGAGACGUGUGCAUCAGCAGCCCUCCACACCCAUCUCGCCCCUCCUCUCUCUCUUCCCGCAAAAGACGUGAAGGCUAUAUUGGAGAUACCAGUGGGGAGAGCACGCAUCGGAAAAGAGGUAGACGACGACCAAGCGAUUCAAGCGCACAUAAUCCUAAGAGGCAAUCCCCCCCCCUCCCUCCCUCCCUCCCUCAAGGAUACUACAGAAGUGGAAGUCCAUCACGGACCAGUCUUGCUUUACGUCUUGUUGUUGAAGCUCUACAAGAAAAACGGCUUUCCUCCUCGCCCUAGUACAGCAAGAUGAUCCUCAACUUCUCCUCCCUGGCGGAGCUGUACGUGUAUGCCACGUGCGUGCUCCUCGGUGUUUCGAUGCUCAUGCCGCUGAAUGCCCUCGCAUCGGCACCGGCGUACAUGCUCGACUACUACAAGUACGCAACCCGAGACCCGAACGCGAAGCCGAACAGCCCCAUUUUCUGGAAUAACAUUCUCACCUUCUACAACGUGGCGUCGGUGGUGACGCAGGCAUUGGUCGGCCCAACGGUGCUGACCCCGUGGGCGCGCAAGCUCUCCCUCUCCUUUCGCUUCUUCAUGGCCCUGACGCUCAUGAUGGUGGAGGUGUUCGUAAUUCUGGUCAUUCCCGCCGGGGGCGUGUCGCAGGUCGGCGCCAUGGUCGCCUUCUUCAUCGUGACCAUCGCGGCUGGCGUGGGCAAGUCCUACCUGGAGGCGACGUGCUACGCGCUGGUGGGCACGAUGCCGCCGAAGUUCAUGUCCGCCAUCAUGUUCGGCUGCGGCUUCUCCGGUGUGAUUUCCUCGACGCUGCAGUGCAUCAUCAAGGCGUCCAUGGAGGACACGUACGACUCGGUGCUCCGCCAGGCGUACCUCUACUUCAGCCUCGCCCUCGGCUUCAUGGGUGUUGCGCUCGCCAUGGCGCUCUCGCUGCGCUUCAACUCCUAUGCGCAGGAGCACGUCGGUGAGUUCCGUGCCAUCAAGCGGGCCAAUGACGCCGCAAAGGGCCUGGACGUCGAGGAGACCAACAAAGCCGCCCAGGAGGAGCUGAACGCCACCCUCAGCAGCAGCAACCAGCGUCAACCCUUUACCACCAAUCCGGCGGCUAAGGGCAAUGAGAUCUACGGCGAUCUCGUCGACGAGGAGGCUGAUAAGGCGCGCCGCAAGGCCGAGGGCGCGGGUGGCUCUGACGAGCUGAGCGAGUGCGACGAGGUGCGGGUGGUGGGCCGCCAGGCUGGCGACACCUACAGCGACAGCAACGCUGACGACCGCAACCUGACCACCUCGGAGCAGCUGCAGCGCACGCGCGCGUGGCCUGUGGUGAAGUUCAUUUGGCCUCUCAUGGUUGCCUGCUUCUGCAACUUCUUUGUUUCGUUGCUCAUCCUGCCGUCCCUCAUGAUCCCGGUCGACCGCGCGGACAGGUGGUUUGCAACUAUCGCGAUUCUGCUGUACAACUGCGGUGAUGCGACCGGCCGCUGGCUAUCCUCAGUGAAGUUCCUGUGGCCCUCGCACUUGGUGCUCUUCAUUGGCGUCGGGUGCCGCUUCAUCUUCAUUCCGCUGACCUUCCUGUGCAUCUUCAAGUACAUCCCUGGCCACCCGGCCCCGUACGUGUUCUUUGCGCUGCUCGGCCUCACGAACGGCUUCUUCGGUGCGAUUUCGAUGGUGUUCGGCCCGAUCGACGCACGCCUGCGCACGGAGGGCCAGCGCGUGAUGGCCGGUCAGCUGAUGGGUGUCGCGCUCCUCGCUGGUGCAUCGCUGUCCGCCAUGCUGGCGAUGGCAAUCGUGCCCUUCCUGCCCUAAGCACAAUGCAAAAUGAAACGCGGGCACGAGGCAGCGGCGGCAGCAGCAGCGGCAGGCUCGAGGUCAAGGGGGCGAGAGCAUGUGUGUGUGUGUGUGUGUAAGCGACACAGGAAAAAAAAGGUGACGACGACCACCGCACACGCUGUCGUUCUCUCUCUCAACCUCUCUGACUCCACCCGUCGGCUCCCACCGCGUCUUAGUUGCUUCGCCUUUUCUUCUUGCUGGUACACCUGCUCUGUAUGUCUGUGUGUCUGUCUGUAGGUGUGUGUGUGCGUGUGUGUGUGUGUGUCUGUGUCUGUGUGUGCUCGUCGCCCUCGCAGAAGAAGUAAUAUGAGACGGAGAGUACAAGGAGCGAAGCCAAAACCAGAGGAAGCACCGAGGAGACGUGCAGACAAAGAAAGGAUGCGUACGGUGCCACGCGCGAACACACUUACACACGAAAGAACACACAUAUAUAUAUAUGUAUAUAUAUUCACUAUUAUAUAUAUAUCUGAUAUAUAUAUAUAUAUAUAAACCCACAGCAACAGCGUUGAUCGAAUAACACACACACACACACACACAGACACCUACAGACACGCACACACACACACACAAAAAGCCUCUUCCCUCUAUCCCCCCCCUCUCUUUUUUUUUCUUCGUUGGUUCACACUUUAUAUUGUCUUCCUCGUUAAGUUGACCUGUCUUCGUUGUUCGUUUCUCAUGUGUUUGCCUGUGUGUUCUCGUUUCUCUCUCUCUUUUUUCGUUGUCUUUGUACUCCACCUCCCUCUACCCACCCUCCCCCUCCCCCUCCCCCUCCCCCUCCCCCUCCCCCUCCCCCUCCCUCCCUCCCUCUGCCCUUCGUUUUUUUUUUCUUUUGUGGGCCGUGUUCUCCUUUGUGCUACUUUAUGCUUCUCCCCUCCCCCUCCCCCUCUUCCCGAGUGAUGAACUCAGCAAGGCGCGUCUCUUUCUUCUUUUGUUGUUGUUUUUUGGUUGGGUUCUUCGUCGUGUUUGAUCAUGCACGCCAUGGUUCUCUAUUUGUUCCCGUGCUGCUUUUCGCCUGAUCUGCUCCUCCUUCCCUCCCCACCCGCAUGCGCCCCCUCCCUCCUUGUUGUUUUCUUGUUGGCUUUUCAUGCUUCCAUCAUGUGGUCGCUUUUCUCCCUCGGACGUGUUUCGCUCCUCUCUUUCUUUUUCGGUCCUCUCUGGACAACGAAACAAAACGAGGAGGAGACGUGCGUGUAUGUGCUUGUGUGUGUGUGUGUGUGUUUGUUUGUUGUUUUGCGGAGGUGAUGGGUGGCAGCGUCGCACGAUACACACGACACACAUACACACACAGAAACACGGAGCGACGGAGAACGACAGCCACACCAACAGCGAAGGGGCGCAAACCACACACACACACACGCAUAUAUAUAUAUAUAUAUGUCUCCAUCCACCCCCAUCCACUCAUCCAUCCAUCCAUCUCGACGCUGGUGGACAGUGACGGAACACGACGACUAAAGCGACAGAGCAAAACCAGAGCGGGCAAACAACAACAAAAAAAAAAAGAAACGCAAGCCGUCAGCAAGGUGCGUGAGAGAAAAAAAAAGAGAGCGAGCUCGCUAACCCCUUACACACACUCGCCACCUCACCACAUCUUACGAACCCCUCUCUUCCCCCCUCCUCCCUCCCACACACACAACGACCUCUCCGCCUCGCAAGAAGGGGCCCGGUGAUAGAGGAAGAAGAGGAAAAGUGAAGAUCGAAGUGGAUGCGGGUUGUGGUGGGGUCUAGAGAGAGAGAGACGUGGCGAAAAUAAAAAAUAAGAAAACAACUGGCAAAAUAAAACGUGUGAAGCUCUUGCAAGUGGAAAAAGAGAAUGCGUGAGGAGCUGUGUAUGCCCUACUACUCCCCUCCCGAAAAGAAGACAAUAAUGUAAGAGGGGAAGAUGAAGAGGUGGAAACAGCCGUCAGAGGACAGCUCCUCUCCCUCUCCGACUCACACACACACUUGCUGAAGACACGCGAAAGAACUCAGCGGAGAUCAUCCGUCUUCGAGUGUGUAGGGUUUGUCUCUUAUUUUUGGAGUAAAAAAAGAAAGGAGUGGUAGUUUCUCCAUAUAUAAAACAAAAAAAGCAACAGGAAUGCAAACACGAGUGAGGUCAUCAUCCUGCACCACAUUGGGCGCGCGCACGUGCGUGCUUAGACUAAUUUUUCACGGUUGAGCUCUUUUCGUUUUGCUUUCUGAACUUUCACACGCCUGCAUUGGCUUUUCUUUUUGCGUGUCGAUUGGUGUACUCGACUCAUAUUCGCCGAUCGUCCUUCUUUUUUUUUAUGGGGGUGCGUGUGUGUGUGUGUGUGUUCGUAUGCUUUCUCUUGCACUUCCCUUCUUUUCCCCAGUACCUUUCUCGUCUUCCACCACCACCACCACCCUCUUUCCUCCUCCUACCUACUGUCGACCCUCGAUUUUCUUUUUUUCUGUCUUAAUUUCGAGUUUGUGUGAUACAUGUUUCUUUUUUAAGUGUCCCCUGACUUUUAAGCACACCGUGUUGAUUGUAAUCGACUGUUUUUUAUGCCUUGCUUUUUUUUUUCGCUGCCCUCAUCUCCCCUCUAUCAUCACCUCUUCUCUCCCCCCACCCUUCCCUCCCAAGACAAUCGAGGUUAACUUGUUCAAGGUAACGUCAACGGAAGAGGAAGAGAGCAAUAGCACACUCUUACACGAUGCACGGUGACAGCAGCAGCAGCGCACGUGCACACACGGACACAGCAAGAGUGGGAUUAGCGGAAUAAGGAAGGGAGACGAGAAGGCUCUGAGAUGAAGAAAAACAACAGCAGACACUUUUUCUUCACCUCUUCUUGCUCACUCGCCCCUCCUCUCAUCGCAUCUCUCUCUCUGGUCUUACGGUUACUACUAAUUGAUCGUGCCUUCGUGAGUGCGUGUGCGCCUCAGUCUAACUGUGAUCAUCUCCCCUUCCCCCUCAGACACCCUGUUCUCCUUGGUUGCCGGUCUCUGAGUCUUUCUCUCCGUCUACUCGCACACCUUAACAUUCCCGGCCGCCAUUAAGCGCUAUUUUCACUUUUUGGUUUUCCCGCUUCACUCACUCGCUCACUCUUUUUACUUUCUUCACCGCUCGGCGUUUGCGUGUUGUUCUGAUCUCCUGCUGUUCUUGUGCUUUUGCAUCUCUCUCUCUCUCUCCGCCUUUCGUGUGUAUAUAUACUUUCUUUUUUGAAGGUUUGUGUGUGUGUGUGUGUGUGUGUGUGUGUGUGUGUGUGUGUGUGUGUGUGUGUGUGGAAAAUCCUCCCAUCCAUCACAUACACACACACACACACACACACACACACACAAACCCCUCCCCCCCCUCUCCUACGCGCGUGUGUUUGUUUGUGUGUGCGUGCGUGCCCUUUUCGCUGACUUCCACCCAAGCAUGCACGGUUGCACAAGCACACGACCUACACCCCGCGUACGUGUGGCCGGAGUGUCGCCCUUCUCCGGUCACCACCACCUCCUCCACCUGCCCUCUCUCUCUCUUUCUUUGCGUGCGUGUUUCUAUUUUUUUUCCGCCUCUUUCGACUCCUCCUCCUCCCCCACGUUCUCCCUCCAACAACAAAGAAAUUUACACCCAUACACACACGCAUGCACACACAAAAAUCACACGCAAGCAGUCCCGCUCAUUUUCUGCUUGUGCGUGUGCGCGUGUGCGUGUGCGUGUGUAUCUUCUUUAGUUCUUCCGUGUGUUCUGUUUUGUGAGCUUCGACACAUGGUGUGUAUUUUUUUUUUAAUUGUAAUGUUUUGACUCUCAUCUUGUUUCGUUGUGUGUGUGCGUAGAAAGCGCUUCUUCGUGGUUUUUGUGGGCUGUGAUUUCCUUUUUUUGUGUGUUUGCCGUUUUGUUCCCCGUUCGGUUGUCUCGCGCUCGCUCCUGCAUAGAGACUCACACAGCCCACCCUCUUCCCUUCCCUGGUCCACUUGCGUCUCUCUUUCUCGCCUCUUCGUGAUGUGUAUGCAUGCAUCCAUAUCUGUGUAUGUGUUUUGUUGUGGGCGUGUGGCUCUCUUAUAUCCGGGCGAUGAGAGAGAGGGGCAAGCGACGGCGAUCUCUCCUCCUCUUUUUUCAGCCACCUCACGACUCACACCAUGCUCACAACGCACGCGGAGACGACGGAGACGAUGCUUGCAUGAGGCUCGGAGACGAAACAACACAACAAAAAAACGACGAAAGUGGCCAUGGUGUUUUUUUUUCGUUGCUGUUGUUGUGUGUGUAGAGGGGCGGCAGGCGAGGGUGGAGUGCCGGAAAUGAACGAAACAAAAACAGAGAAAACAAAAAGGGCGGCAACGCCGACUUCCACACAACACACACACAGACACACGAUAUAUAUAUAUAUGUGUGUGUGUUGUGUGGAAGUCUUAGCACAAGAAAACCACGCACGCCCAUGAUCAACAGAGGCUUGCUGGAUAGACUGUAAAAAAAAAAGAAAGCGCAAGGUUCGUGUGCGCGCGAGUUGAAAGUGUUGAAGUACUUGAUAUAUAUAUAUAUAUAUGGAUACAUCUGUGAUUCCUCCCAUCAUACUCAAG